rnacentral:rRNA from 1 species
AUUGAACGCUGGCGGCAGGCCUAACACAUGCAAGUCGAACGAGUGGCGGACGGGUGAGAUAUGUCUGGGACACUGCCUGAUGGGGGGGGAUAACUACUGGAAACGGUAGCUAAUACCGCAUACCAUCAGAUGCGCCCAGAUGGGAUUAGCUAGUUGGUGGGGUACCGGCUCACCAAGGCGACGAUCCCUAGCUGGUGUGAGAGGAUGACCAGCCACACUGGAACUGAGACACGGUCCAGACUCCUACGGGAGGCAGCAGUGGGGAAUAUUGCACAAUGGGCGCAAGCCUGAUGCAGCCAUGACGCGUGUAUGAAGAAGGCCUUCGGGUUGGAAAGUACUUUCAGCGGGGAGGCGUUACCCGCAGAAGAAGCACCGGCUAACUCCGUGCCAGCCGCCGCGGUAAUUC